AGCACGCAAGCCCUUGUAGAAGAAAAAAAAGAAGUGCUUUCAUCUUCGCCUCGGCUGACGUAGCAGUUGAAAGGGAUGAAACGCUCUGAAAUCGACUACACGUACCCGACUCAUCACAAGGUCGUUAAGCUCAUGGUGUUUAACCAAUACUAGGCACCGCACGUGGUUGCGUGGUGUUGAACCCGUUUAGGGCAGCCACCUCCGAUAUGUCAUGGCUGUUUACUUUUGAGUGACGGGUUCUCAAAAAUGGCAAACAAACAAGCAAAAAAAGAGAGAAAAAAAAUUGGAGAACUCCAGGAAGCAAUAACUGGGAACGCAAGACCGUUGACUUCUGCAAUCUCGAGGAGUUUCUAAUUUUUGCCCUCUACCAGAGAACUACGCCUCCGACCUGUGAGGAGCGCUCUCAAGGACUAAUGGGACUAUUGUGACCACCCAGAGAUAGCUCGUCGCAAAUGCCAACAAGGGCCCGAGUACUAUGGGUUCCCCUUUGGCUAGAAAGCAGGGCUAUCUACAUUAACAGAGAAAACCAAGCUGACAGCCACUCGACAACACACACUAAAGGAUGUUCUACAACCGCUGACAAGGCCGCACCUGUGAACAACAGAAAAGGUCAAUGGUAAACCAGGAAAGUUCGUACGUAACAGUUCAUAACUACAACGGUGCAUAAUACGAAGAAGAAAGAGAGGCAAGUAUGACAGAACAGAGUGCUCACGUUCUGUUGUAUUAAUGUCUUUUGUCUCCGAAUCUUGCACAGUUGAAAUAAUAAAGCAGUUUCGCACGAAAGGCGAAACAUCAAUUGUGAUAGCAAAUUAUUACAGUUAUACGCAUAAGGUUAGUAGCUUUAUUAGCUGUAUAAAGUGCUGUAAACAUUCCCUUAUUAACUAACAAUCACGGUAUCACAUACACACAGACUAACAUGAACACAUCUCACUAAAUGACCGCAGACACUCGUCAGAACGCUGGCUUGAUGAAGAGCGGCAGUAGCGGCGAGCGAAUUCCUCUGUGCUGCCUCUCGCUUCACCACGAACUAGGCACACGAGAACACAGCGCACAUGACGGCAUCAGCCCUCCGCACGCCUAGCCUUUAUACCCACCGCAGACUGUUUCCAAGAUAGGAUGCGCACAAUCGCGCCAUGUGCUGCCAGAGUACAAGCAGAGAUGCAUGCUACCCUACCUGCAUGGCAUGCCAGCAGCCUUGUAGCAGCGAGGAGCAAUCGGCUUGGCGACAGUAUGCGUGGGUGCGCAAGGUGAUUUCCAGCUUCAAUAUGUUCUGGUGCACUGUUCGCUUCAGGAGUGCCCCUCGCUGUUACAAGGCAGCUGACAUGCCGUGUGGUCGACACUCGCACAAUAUUAUUAAAGAAGGGCAAGGGUGGACUAUUCGAGUGCUAGUUAGUAUGAAUGAAAGCGAGUAAGAAUGCGAGUGAUUGUUGGUGAGUACGUGUAGACAUGUGCGAAAGAGUGCCGUUGAGUGAGUAAACGCGAAGUAUGUUGACUGCAAAAAUAGUUAAACCUCGAUAUAACAAACUUCAACAUAACGAAAUUCUCAAUAUAACAAAGUAUCUAACUUUUCAUAACCUCUUGUCCAUAGAACACCAUGUAGCUCAAUAUUUCGACAUAACAAAAUUUCACUGCCGCCGCAAAGGAAUUUCAAGACAACAAAUCGAAACUUCCACAAACACAGAUGGUCAAAUGAUUGAAUUACAAGAGGCUGCUUGCGAACGCACCUCUCAAAUCGCACGCUGCGUGAUAAGAGUGACCACCGAAGUGGAGCAGCAUCAUGUUCCAUAUAAAGUCCAAGUGCGAUAACAUCCUAUCACGCCCCAUGCACUGUGUGCUUCAGGUGCGAGUGAAAGCACGCGAGGGUGAGACAAGAAAGGUGGUAGCUUCACAAGUGCCGCCUUCCCGUGCAAGCAAAGGAAAGAGAGGGAGAGGAGCAAGCUCGCGAUAAGGUAAUCAAGUGCGCGCGAGGUGGUGGGGAGUGGGGGGUAAGUUGGUGCGCGUCUCGGCCGCGGCUGCGCAUGGCUGUAAGCGCGGCUGAGUGCAUAUGCAGCCACACAUCCUGCUUUAGGCGUAAUGUGCCGCAUGUGCAAAGAGAGCAUGCCGAGAUAGUGUGGCAUCAUGCAAGCUGUCUUCCUGCGCGUUCAGUAUUGGAGGUUGCGUAAUGUCAAGUUUCAGAGACCCGUUGAACCGAGCGAGAGGCAGACGAAGCAUUUGCUGCUGGCGCUUUUCAUGAUAGCAGUGAUGGAAGCGACAUUUUACUUUUUGGAGCAGAUUUACCAGAAAAAAAUGCCACUUUGGAGCAGUCAUAAGUGAUUUCAGAGCAUAAAAAAUUCCACUUUUGGAGCAGCUAUUGGUGUUUUCGGAGCAGAUGACAAAAUAUGCCAUACGACUCCUAGAGUUAAAGGCAUCACCGAAGGAUCUCAUAAAUAUUAUAUUUAUUAUGCAACAUAUUGUACAUGCAAUAAUCAAUGCAAAGUGCAAGAUACAAACAAUUAAGAAAAUGGACGGUUAUCAAACGUGCAGUAAAAUGAGCCA